rnacentral:misc_RNA from 1 species
GUAAGUAAAAGUCGUAACAAGGUCUCCGUAGGUGAACCUGCGGAGGGAUCAUUACAGAGUUCAUGCCCUACCGGGUAGAUCUCCCACCCUAUGUUAUUAUUACUUUGUUGCUUUGGCGGGCCGUUAGGCUCCGGCCCGACUACCGGCCCCGGCUGGUAAGCGCCCGCCAGAGGACCCAAAACCCUGAAUAUUAGUGUCGUCUGAGUACUAUAUAAUAGUUAAAACUUUCAACAACGGAUCUCUUGGUUCUG